GUCUUUUGACACUUCUUCCACUCCCGUCCUUGCACGCUACACCGCUACAACAAAGAUGACGGGGAGAAGACGCUGUCGAAGGUGAGCCACUGUCGACCACGUCCACAGAACCCACCGAUGAGAGGAACAGAGUCGGAUGUUGCGGGCAUGAUCUCAGCCACCAGGAGCAUGAAGACGGUCGGAUCGCGGGGGCAGCAACCUAAGCAGAAAAGCCCAGACUUCCUUCUCCGCAGCCACUACGUCAAGCUCUUCCCGGGGGAUCCCAAGGCGUAGAUGCACAUGUGAGGCGGCAACAUGCAAACUGCAGGAACGAGAAG